GGUUUUCGGACCUAGAGACCGGCGCACGGGUGCGUAACGCGUAUGCAAUCUACCUUUUACAGAGGGAUAGCCCAGAGAAAUUUGGAUUAAUACCUCAUAGUAUUAUUGAAUGGCAUCAUUUAAUAAUUAAAGUCACAACGGUAAAAGAUGAGCAUGCGUCCCAUUAGCUAGUUGGUAAGGUAACGGCUUACCAAGGCAACGAUGGGUAGGGGUCCUGAGAGGGAGAUCCCCCACACUGGUACUGAGACACGGACCAGACUCCUACGGGAGGCAGCAGUGAGGAAUAUUGGUCAAUGGGCGCAAGCCUGAACCAGCCAUGCCGCGUGCAGGAUGAAGCAUCUAUGGUGUGUAAACUGCUUUUGUACGAGAAGAAACACUCCUACGUGUAGGAGCUUGACGGUAUCGUAAGAAUAAGGACCGGCUAACUCCGUGCCAGCAGCCGCGGUAAUACGGAGGGUCCAAGCGUUAUCCGGAAUCAUUGGGUUUAAAGGGUUCGUAGGCGGUUUUGUAAGUCAGUGGUGAAAGCCCAUCGCUCAACGGUGGAACGGCCAUUGAUACUGCAAGACUUGAAUUAUUGGGAAGUAACUAGAAUAUGUAGUGUAGCGGUGAAAUGCUUAGAGAUUACAUGGAAUACCAAUUGCGAAGGCAGGUUACUACCAAUAUAUUGACGCUGAUGGACGAAAGCGUGGGGAGCGAACAGGAUUAGAUACCCUGGUAGUCCACGCCGUAAACGAUGGAUACUAGCUG
rnacentral:rRNA from 1 species